rnacentral:tRNA from 1 species
GCCGUCGUGGCGGAAUUGGCAGACGCGCUAGACUCAAAAUCUGGUUCUCUUACGAGAGUGUGGGUUCGACCCCCUCCGACGGCACCA